rnacentral:rRNA from 1 species
UACGUAGGGUGCAAGCGUUGUCCGGAAUUAUUGGGCGUAAAGAGCUCGUAGGCGGUUUGUCGCGUCGGCUGUGAAAACCUGGGGCUCAACCCCGGGCCUGCAGCCGAUACGGGCAAACUAGAAUUCGGUAGGGGAGACUGGAAUUCCUGGUGUAGCGGUGAAAUGCGCAGAUAUCAGGAGGAACACCGGUGGCGAAGGCGGGUCUCUGGGUCGAUAUUGACGCUGAGGAGCGAAAGCGUGGGGAGCAAACAGG